rnacentral:rRNA from 1 species
UUGGGUAUCUUAAUUCAACAUCGAGGUGGUAAACUUAAUCCUAGAUAAGGGCUCUUAAAUUAAAUUACCCUGUUAUCCCUAAAGUAGCUUUUAUUUAUUGUUCAUUGAUUUUUUUUGUUUAAUGGGUCAUUAUAGCCUACUUUGUAACUGUAAAAUUUAUUUGUUAAACAGUAAAUUUUUAAUGUUGUUUUUAAUUUAGCUUGUCUUUGUUGCUUUUAAAAGACCGUCUCCCCAACGAAACUACCUUCCUCUUAAUAAUUAUUUUUAAACAUUUAAUAAGAGAAUAUAGUUAAGCUUUAUAGGGUCUUUUCGUCUUACAAUUUUAAAUAGCAUCUUCACUAUUAUUUUAAUUUUAUUUUGGUUUUAUGAGACAGUGGAAUUCUCGUUUGGCCAUUCAUUCUAUCCACUAAUUAAGUGGCAAAUGAUUAUGCUACAUUCUUACAGUUAUGGUUACUGCAGCCAUUUAAUUUGUUUUUUAUUUUUUCGAAUAAAUUUCUAAUCAUUGGGC